UACGGAGGAUGCAAGCGUUAUCCGGAAUUAUUGGGCGUAAAGCGUCCGCAGGUGGCAAUGUAAGUCUGCUGUCAAAGCGUCUGGCUCAACCAGAUAAAGGCAGUGGAAACUACAUAGCUAGAGUAAGGUAGGGGUAGAGGGAAUUCCUGGUGUAGCGGUGAAAUGCGUAGAGAUCAGGAAGAACACCGGUGGCGAAAGCGCUCUGCUGGACCUUAACUGACACUGAGGGACGAAAGCUAGGGGAGCGAAUGGG
rnacentral:rRNA from 1 species